UGAAGAACGUGUGUUUGGACAGACAUAAGCAGUGAAGAGGAGUCAGAGACCUGACACACACUGAUCCUGAUGGCUCCCGCUGUGAUUCUCAUCGGCUGUCUGCUGGCCACAAUCAGCUGCGUAACCACAGCUCAAAGUACCUCAUCUGCUCCCACCACCAAUUCAAGUGGGCCUACCUCAUCAUCACCAACUACAACUACUGUUCAUCCACCAGCAUUUACGAAUACCACCACUGCAAACCGUCCAAUCAACUCCACUGCAAACCGUCCA